CGCGUGUGUGAAGAAGGCCUUAGGGUUGUAAAGCACUUUCAGUGGGGAGAAAGGUUUGUCACCUAAUACGUGAUGAAAUUGAUGUUACCCACAGAAGAAGCACCGGCUAACUCCGUGCCAGCAGCCGCGGUAAUACGGAGGGUGCAAGCGUUAAUCGGAAUUACUGGGCGUAAAGCGCACGUAGGUGGUUCGCUAAGUCAGCUGUGAAAUCCCCGGGCUCAACCUGGGACUUGCAGUUGAAACUGGUGAGCUAGAGUAGGGUAGAGGGGUGUGGAAUUCCAGGUGUAGCGGUGAAAUGCGUAGAUAUCUGGAGGAACAUCAGUGGCGAAGGCGACACCCUGGACUCAUACUGACACUGAGGUGCGAAAGCGUGGGGAGCAAAACAGGAUUAGAUACCCUGGUAGUCCACGUCGUAAACGAUGUCUACUAGCCGUUGGGUUCCUUGAGGACUUAGUGGCGCAGCUAACGCAAUAAGUAGACCGCCUGGGGAGUACGGUCGCAAGAUUAAAAACUCAAAUGAAUUGACGGGG
rnacentral:rRNA from 1 species